UUUCCCCACCUGGAAUGCGUCCUGGCUUCGGCUGGCCCGGCCCAACCCUCAGCGGCCGCGGUGCCCAGGCCCACUCCUUCCGCGCCUGGAAACGUGAGACGGGUCCCUGAGGACGACGUAGGCAAACUUUGCAGAGCACGUUGCCACCUGUUGGAGUAGCCGCUCCAGCCCCAGUCGAAAUGCACGGCUGAACAAUGGCAGUUCUGAGUGGCUCAAGGGCCCACACUUUCUUUAAAACUGAUGCACUCGUAGUAAUAUUUCGUAACAUGCCCCACAUCCAGAGGCCUGUGCUCACCACCUCAGCAGUGCCCGGGGAGGUUCGCCAGGCGUGGGCAGGCUCUCCCUUGAAAGCACCUGACCUGGUUCUACCUUGCACUGGGGCUGAAUGGGAAUUACAUGGGAAUCUCUUAUUGUAAUGCAUGAACAGUUUUCACAAGAAAAGGGGACAGGACUGGACCGCUGGCUGUUCCUUCUUUGAUCCCAGGCAUGAUUUCAGCUUGUAGAAUAAAUGAGAAAUGCCAGUUGGUUUAAUUAAAAGAACCCCAUUGGCUGUGCUAGCCUGCCUGCCUUCUGGUGCCCAAGCAAGUGUAUUGAUAAAGGAAUCAAAAGCUGCACAUUCAAUUGUCCCAGGGUUUUCUCAUCUAUCUUGACAGCUUUUGAGAAUAUGAGUCAAUUUCUCAAAAGCAGUUUAUUGUAAGCCUUGAAAUAUCCAGUUUCCUACCUGGUACCUUAAAUCAUUACUUUUUCCAUAGGGAUAACUGGUGAAGUAUCUCCAAAAUAUAUCCUUCUUGUCCGUUGACUCAGAUAGCUGAUUGGGAAGAAGCCAGCUGUCUCCUCUGGGAUGCUGGCUGGCCUCUGAGUGGGCCCUGGAGCUACUGCCUGGGGAUCAAUGUACUACCACAAUACAGACUAAAUUCCUGGUCCAUUGGGAUAUACCUCCAGUAUAAGACCUCCAGGAAGGACUCCUGCUAGGCCCAAUCACAGAGACUAGUGGGUGUGGUCAGAAAGCCCGGGGCACAGCCUGAUCGGUCAUUGUACAGGCGUGUUACCACUAAGGCUGAGCUUUAGGAGAACAAGACAAUAUCAAUGGCUAGCGGGGUUCACAUGAAGGCAAGACAUGGACAGCUGCUCCUUCAUCCGUGUUUUUAUCCCCAAGGAACAGCUUUGUGAAAGUACUCUGUGCCCUCGAGCUGUUGCCAGCAGGGUCUGUCUCUUCAGCGUGGCUUUUGAGAGGAAAGUGCAGCAAACUGGAGCCUUAGCAGAAGGCUGCUCGCUAGCAUGAGAAGCAUUUGAUUCCAGCUUGGAAACAAGGGGUGGGGCAAAGCCUUUUUACCACCUCCACCCCAUCUCUCCCUCUCUCCCUUUCAGAAAGGCAGAUUUAUCUAGUGGUGCAUCCCUUGCCUUCAUGUCAGAGUGUCAGCUUUGUCAUAUUCCUCACUGUUGUUACUAGAAUUUUUUAAAGAUUUAUUUAUUUUAAGAUGUAUUUAUAGAUACUUUUUGCCUGCACACAUAUCUCUGUGGGGGUGCUCUGGAACUAGAGUAUGUGGGUUGUGGGAAUUGAACCCCAGUCCUCUGGAGGAGCAGCCAGUGUUCUUAAUUGCUGAGCCAUCUCUCCAGUCCCAAUUACUGGAAUUUCAUAUGAAAGCAAAACCAUGGCAUAAAUCUUAGCAAAUUUGAUUUCCAUACUUUUUACCUUUUUCCAUUCACCAGAGAUGAGAUGCAGGUAUAUUCACGUUAAAACAAAAAUGCAAACAAGUCAGAUAAAAGGAAAUCCAGAUGAUGCUCUCAAACCUGAAGAAACACUUGUGGAGCCAGAUGGAAGCAUAGUAGAUUUGGACUCUGUUUGUCACCAUCCCAAGGGAACGAAGCAUCAUGGGCUCUGAUUUGUUCACUUGUUUCUUUAUGUGCGUAUGUACAGGUAUGUACACCUGUGCGUGCAUGGAAGUCAGAAGAGAGCAUCCUGUCUCCUUCUCCAUCACUGUCUUCUUCCUCUGAGCCAGGGUCUGUCCCUCAACCCAAGGCUCUUGGUCUUCUUGGUUAGGCUAGAAGGCAGCAAGUCCCAGCAAUCCCCCAGUCUCCGGCCCCUUAAUGGAUCAGUCUGGGGGUGUAAAGUGUCUGUGGGAUCCAAACUUGAGAUCGUAACAAGCGAUCUUAACUGCUGAGCCCUCUUUCCAACUGCUCCCUGUCGUGACAGCAAGAAAAAGCCUAAUAUACUCUGAGGUCAUGUUGGAACCAUGUGUUUGGAGACAGCAGAGGUUUGGGACAAUCUUUCCAAUCAGGAUGACUCACAGCUGUGAUCAGGGCUUUCUCUUUUAUCAGCUAUACUAUCAGAAAAGAAGACCCUUGUGAGCGCAGUGUCUGCCUCAAGCUCUUCAUCUUUUCCAUUGUUACAAAAUCUCUGGGGGAGGAUUACACACAGGAUCAUGAGUCCUGUGUAUGAAAUUAUGAUGACUUAUGAAUGAUUACAUUCAUCACAAUUAUUGUGAAUAAAAAAUGUUAUGUUUU
ensembl:lincRNA